rnacentral:rRNA from 1 species
UACGUAGGGUGCAAGCGUUGUCCGGAAUUAUUGGGCGUAAAGAGCUCGUAGGCGGUUUGUCGCGUCGAAUGUGAAAACCCCGGGGGCUCAACCCCCGGGCCUGCAUUCGAUACGGGCAGACUAGAGUUCGGUAGGGGGAGUCUGGAAUUCCUGGUGUAGCGGUGAAAUGCGCAGAUAUCAGGAGGAACACCGGUGGCGAAGGCGGGACUCUGGGGCCGAUACUGACGCUGAGGAGCGAAAAGCGUGGGGGAGCAAAACAGG